rnacentral:rRNA from 1 species
CGUUCUAACUCUGAUCAGUUAUCCUGAUCGAAGACAGUGUCUGGCAGGCAGUUUGACUGGGGCGGUCGCCUCCUAAAAGAUAACGGAGGCGCUCAAAGGUUUGCUCAGAAUGGUUGGAAAUCAUUCGUAGCGUGUAAAGGCAUAAGCAAGCUUGACUGUGAGACUGACAAGUCGAGCAGGUACGAAAGUAGGACUUAGUGAUCCGGUGGUUCCGUAUGGAAGGGCCAUCGCUCAACGGACAAAAGCUACCCCGGGGAUAACAGGCUCAUCUCCCCCAAGAGUCCACAUCGACGGGGAGGUUUGGCACCUCGAUGUCGGCUCAUCGCAUCCUGGGGCUGUAG